GUUGUAAUUUGCAGAGGGCGCUUUGGCAUUGGCAGCGGUCCAAGUUCCUUGGAACAGGACGUCACAGAGGGUGAGAAUCCCGUACGUGGUCGCUAGCCUUUACCGUGUAAAGCCCCUUCGACGAGUCGAGUUGUUUGGGAAUGCAGCUCUAAAUGGGAGGUAAAUUUCUUCUAAAGCUAAAUACUGGCCAGAGACCGAUAGCGCACAAGUAGAGUGAUCGAAAGAUGAAAAGCACUUUGGAAAGAGAGUUAAAAAGCACGUGAAAUUGUUGAAAGGGAAGCGCUUGCAGCCAGACUUGCCUGUAGUUGCUCAUCUAGGUUUCUACCUAGUGCACUCUUCUAUAGGCAGGCCAGCAUCAGUUUGGGCGGUUGGAUAAAGGUCUCUGUCAUGUACCUCUCUUCGGGGAGAACUUAUAGGGGAGACGACAUGCAACCAGCCUGGACUGAGGUCCGCGCAUCUGCUAGGAUGCUGGCGUAAUGGCUGUAAGCGGCCCGUC
rnacentral:rRNA from 1 species